UUGGAGGUCUCUUCCAACCUAGACGAUUCUGUGAUUCUGUGAUUCUGAUUCUGUAAGCAUUCUUACAGCAGGCCCCUAGGAAAUGCUUCAGACAAGUCAUGAGGAAAGUCACUCGAAUAGACUUCCAGCAGCUCCCAGGUAUUGCAUCGGGCCUCCCAAGUCUCAUACCUUUUCUAAGGGCUUGUUAUACCAUCAAUAAACACCACUCGGUCAUAACCUCUCUAACAGACUGUGGGUGGUUAUCAGUUGUCUACAACUCUACCACUCUUCCCAGCACUGCCAUACAAGCAGCAAAUUAUACAAAUAAUUUAAAACUCAGUCUCUUUCUAUGCACACACUUAGUAUUCAAGAAACAGUUGCCGAACAGACAUGUCCUCCAGAAAUGGCAUAGGCACAGGUGUUCCCUCUUACCUACAUGACCUUAAGUCCCUCUCAGGUCUAUGCCUUUCCACCUGUCAGACUCUACCUUCCUUGUGUCUUCAUAUUCUGCUAUCAAGAUUAAGAUCACUGUCCUCCUUUGAACUUUCAGAAGUUUGUUGUUUUAGUAGAAUGAGCUUCAAAAUCUAGACUGAAUCCAAGCCUUUGUUGCUGGCAUGUUCUGUACAAUAUUCUUUAAGAAUGAGGUGACAUUAACUCUGGAAUUCCCAUCUGUUUUUUGCCAUGUUCUAAUGUUUCAUCUGGGGUUAUUCUGAGUCUGUAUAAAGAUCCCGUUACAAAACAAAGAGAAAUACCGAGUGUCAGCUUUUGGACUGGAGAUCAGAAGAGCUGUUUGAACCACAGGAUGAUGAAGAGUCAUUCAGCUCUGCAAACAGUUUUGGCAAAUUCACUUUACGUGGUCUCUGGAAAGCAGCUUUCCACAUGUGGGACAAAUCUUUAUCUUCCUAUCUUCAUUAAGUAGAGAGAGGUUUAGCUAUGGGAGUCAUUCAAUUAUGUCAAGGACAGGCUUCAUCCUGUAGCCACAUUGCAACCUCAGUUGCACAGACUGUCAUGAGCUACCCUGCUGCAUGCACUCAAUCAUCUGCUGUCAAACCAGGAACCAGGUCAAAACCACAAGGAAUUUCUAACUCUUUUUGGCUGACUAGGUCUGAUGCCAUUUAAGGUCUCAACAUCAGAACUGCUGAUAACUUUUGUAUCUUGUUGCCAAAAAAACAAAAAACCAAAACCAUAUCCAUGGCCAUCUUCCAGUCUUUAAGCCAAGUCAUAAGUUUUGGAAGUGCUAAUCCACUGUGUCAGCUUUUCCUUAGUAGUUUUACAAGUCUGGCUAGAUUCUGCCUGGUAGAAGCUUUCGUGAUAAUGAGAGUUUAAGCACAGAUGAGGUUAGAGCAGCUCUUAAUGUUUUUCAAUCAAACAGUAAAAUUCUGGUCUAAGAAAAAUGUUUUCUGGUGUUAUGUCUAAUUCUACUAUUCUUGAUAAUUUAUUUUCUCAAUAAAAUGCUUCAUAAGAACAGGAACAGAAGAAAAAUGACCAGUUUUCUGCAGGAGUGUUGCAGUGGGACUACAAAAAGCACCAAUUACUCUCAUCAAGGAGACAGCAAGCAAUCUCAUUCAAGUAUUUGCUAGAAAGCUACAGAAGAAACAGCUGACUGCACAGGAAUAUGCAUUUGACCAGAAGUACCUGUGGAAGGAGUGAGAAGAAUUUUUGGAAUAUGCACUGGAAGGCAGAAAAAGAUGAAGAGACAUAAAAAGACAACAGUAUAUGCACCACUGUACAUCCCUGUCAUGCAAACAUGCAAAAAUAUGAAGAAACCACAUGAGCUUCUGAGGAUCCAAAUAACCAUGCCUCCUAAAUAAACAUACAAGGAUUUUCUAGGGAUCACUGCUUCAGUAUGGCUGGUUUAUAAAGAUGAAAUACAUUGAGAAAUAU